UGGUUAAAUUCUCCGUUAAUA
ensembl:piRNA 21ur-3264 ncRNA